GGUCCAGGCCGGAGCGCUUGGAGAUGCGGAGCUUGGCCACCUCCUCCGCACAGGUGGGGUGGAUGCCCACUGUCCGCAUCACCUGCAGCCGGCAGCCAGGAACACCUGCCAACUCCACCUCCCACCCGCCCGGCCAGGCCCCCUGCUGCCCCCAGGAGCACACGGCCCUAAGUGAGUCCAGCCCGCUCCCCUCUGCCCUCCUGUGUCUGAAAGCCCUUGCCAGCUGCCCAGCCCCUUCACUCCCAGAAACCCAGCCCCGAAGGAGCGGCCACAGCACGGGCCCUGGGACCCCGCCAUGCACAGCCUGCAUCCGGGGCUGGCUCCAGGGGACAUGUGCUCGCUGGGUGGCCCUCCCAGUACAUGCGAUGCCAAGCUGCUCCCGACCGCCUGGGCACUCAUUCUGAGCAGAGAAGACCCACAGGGACCCCUUGGCUGGUCGAGGACCACAAGCCUGUCCUAGAGAUGAACAUGACCACGCUUCGGGUGACUGGACCCGCCCCAUCGGGUGGACGCUCUCUGAAAACACCACCCCACGGACAAGCGGUCUGAAGCAGCAGACUCAACAGCCGAGCAGCCUGCGAGUGGCGUAUCGGCCGACAUUCCUGCGGACUCACUUGAUCCCCAGGGCAAAUCCCUGAGUAACUUCGCCUGCGUUGGGGCCAAGGAAGUGCAGGCCCAGCACCAGCUGAGGGGGCUCCCGCAGACACACCAUCUGAAAGGCACAUGGUCAGCGGGGGCGGCGGGGCCUGUGCGCCCAGGCCCCCGGGGGGAUGCUCACCUUUAUGUAGCACUGAGAUGCAUCCCGCUGGGGGACCGUGAACUCUAGUGGCUUAUAGAACGCGUGGUAAACCUGGGCGGCAAGACAAGGAUUCCCGGGUCACUGACUGCAGCACAGCAAGCCCCAGGGCCUCCUCGAGUGGGUCAGGCUGUGGGCGCGGUGGGGGAGCCACAACCACCCACUGGGCCUGCAGGCUGUGAUCCGGGCUGAGGACAAGGCCCCGCUGGCCUGCAGGCGCCCGCCCCCCUGGGCACGGCAGCCUGUGGACAGACCGUCUCCCAGCAGGCCCGAGACUCUGGAGAACUGCGGCAGUGAGGCAGGCUGCCCUCUGACCUGCCCCAGAGCCCGGGGCUCAGAGCAGGCCCAGGCACCACCCAGGCGGACACUGCCCAGACUGGGCGCUGGAGGGGGCCCAGCUGCCCGUCCCGUUUCCCCAGCCCCCAGUGCUCUCCAGGCCCUCACUCCAGCCAGCAGGGGGGCAACCACAGCCCCCACCGACUGCGGGACAAAGGCUUUCAGCGCCCGAGAAGGGCCGACAGCGUGGUCAGGGCUGCGGCCGCGUAAAAAAUGAGCAAGGUGCUCACAUGUGCUGCACAGCCAUUAUUAAUUAAUGCAGCUUCAGAGAAUAUUGUUCUAACGGAGACAGAAUUGAAAAGAAAACAAACAAAGGGCA